UACGAAGGGUGCAAGCGUUACUCGGAAUUACUGGGCGUAAAGCGUGCGUAGGCGGUUUGUUAAGUCUGUCGUGAAAGCCCCCGGGCUCAACCUGGGGAAUGGCGAUGGAUACUGGCGAGCUAGAGUACGGUAGAGGAGAGUGGAAUUCCCCGGUGUAGCAGUGAAAUGCGUAGAGAUCGGGAGGAACAUCAGUUGCGAAGGCGGCUCUCUGGACCAGUACUGACGCUGAGACGCGAAAGCGUGGGGAGCAAAC
rnacentral:rRNA from 1 species